AUAUGAUCGGAUCUCUCUCUCUCUCUCUCUCUUUUUCUCUCUCACUGGCUGCUCCAUGCAGAAUGGAUUAGAGUGUGGCUGGGCAAAUGGAGAGGUGGUGGGAACAGUGAAAAAGCCUUUGCAGUAGCACAGUCAGGCGAUGACAGUGGCUGGGCCAAGGAGGUGAAGCUGAAAAUGAAAGCAAAUCUGAGUGGGAGGCAGAAGUGAUCCUGUUAACAACAACUGCCCACUCCAGAUGAGAAGAAGUUUUGUGGUGAAGUGAUAAAUCCUGUGCUGUGCAUGUUUGACUUGCUUAAGUAACAACCUUAGUGGGAAAAUGCCAGUGGAAUUUCAUGAGUAUGACUGGCAGUGCCUGCGAGGAGGAGAGCUGCGAGGAGGAGAAGGAUGAGAUACUUUUGGUUAGAUGCAGAAAUAGCAGCUCAGAGAGGCAAGUGACCUGCCCAAGGCCCCAGGAACCAGGUCUAGAGGGACCCUGGUGUGUCUUUGCCUGAGAGAUGGAGCUGUCUGUUCCCGGCAUGGCCUGGAGGGGAAGAAGACCGUGGAAGGGAGAGGGCAGGGAGCUGCCUCACCUGCUAACUCUUCUCGAUUGAACCAGCUCUUCGCUUGGGAAUUUGACUGCAAUAUGACUUCUCAGGACACCAGACAUCCUAGCCUUAAAGAGGGCACAGGUACAUUUUCCUAGGCCAAAUUAAUAUGGAUUUUGAAUUAUCUCCUGUUGUUCAGAAAGAUCCUCCCUGCAUUGGUGGUUUUGACAUUUCCCAGGCUCCAAGAGCCAUGGAUCUCCUCUGAGAGCUGCACUGGAGAAGGUUCUGAAAGUCUUCUUUACAUCUCUAACCAGACAGGUCCUUAGGAAACUCCUCCAGCAAGCACUGACCCCUUCACAGCCAGUCCUGUGUCGGACUCUGAGGUAAAGACACCACCCAGUUGCUGCCCUCAGAAUCAACCUAGCCCUUGCUUCUCUCACAAGAGUGAAACUUGGAGGCAUUAAUAUAUAUUUUUGUUCUGCAAAACUUUAAAGAAUAAAACAUUAGAAAUAAAACUAUAACAAUCAUCCAUGUGCCUGCCACCCAGAUUUAUUGUUUUUUAAAGAAGUAAAACAUAAAUAUAGUUAAAAUUCCUUGUGUAUCCCUCCCAGUCCCAAUCCUCCCUCAGAGGCAAGCACUGUGGUGAAGCUUGUUACUGUUCUACAUGUAUUUCACAGUUUUAUUAUAUAUUCAUAUGCACAUAGCACAUAAACUUAAAAGACAUAAACUCAUACUGUAUAUAAAUUAAAUUUUACACUUAAUAUAAAUAUAAUUUAUAUAUUACACAUUACAAAAAGUUGUUUAUGUACUGCAUAAGCUUUACAUUUAAAUAUUAUACUUAGUCAAAAAUAAACUAUAUAUUUACAUAAAUAUAAACUAACAUUUAUAUACCGUAUGUCUAACAUUAACGUUUAUACUGUGUAUAGUGUGUAUAAAUUAAAAUGUACAAAAUUAGCUUCAAACCCUUCACAUAAUGAUGGUCUAACUUGCCUUUUGUCCAACACAAUAUAUUUUUAUUUCUAUUCAUUUUGAUGCAUCUUGAUUCCCUUCAUUCAUUCCAACUGCAGUGGAGUUUUCCAUUAUUGGAAUAUGUCACAAAUAAUUUAUGACUGUCCUAUGAUUUGCAAAGUACACUUGUUUGAAAUUUCCUAUGACUACAAACAAUGCUGCCACACAUUCUGUGGCUGUUUUCUUGUGUACACAUGCGAGUGAUUUUAGGACAGAUACAUAGAAGUGGAUGCUUCCCCUUUACCAGGUAUUGUCAGUUGUUUUUAAAAGAUGUCUGCGUGUGCACUGUCACACCAGCAGCAUAAGAGGCUCCUAUUUCUCUGCAUUCUUGCUGCCACCAGGCCAUGUUGAUCUUGAACUUUGUUGUUAAUUGGAUGGAAGUGAAAUGGUAUCUCAUUGGUGUUUCACUUGUUUCCCGACUAUUCAUGAAGUUGACAAUCUUUUCAUGGAUAUUGACCCUCCGGGUUUCUGCUUCUGUGAAAUGCCUUUUCAUAGUUUUUGCCUAUUUUUCUCUCUUGGGUUAUUUAUCUUUCCCUUAUUAAUCUGUAGGAGUUCUUAAAAUAUUCAGGUUUUUAAUCCUUUGUUGGUUGUGAGCAUUCACCAUGCUUCUCCUGGUCUGUGACUUGUCUUUGAAUUUUGUUUAUAAUGU
rnacentral:lncRNA from 10 species